GGCCCCGAGUCCGGCUGGAGCGCGCGCUGGGCGCAGUCCCCCGAGCCGGCCGUGUGGUGUGACGCCAGGUUGCGGACCCGGCCGCCCGCGACAUCCCUGUCCCGCACUUCGUCCGAACUAGCGCGCCGGGGCCCCCUGCGAGCCCUCUGCAGAGAAACGCGGGCGCGAGAGAGGACCUGUUGAUUUCUCUUUAAUCUGUCAGAAGGUGGAGGAAAAGAUGGGCUGCCAACAGUCUCUGCAAGGAUCAGACGUGUCCAAAGUCCGCACCAUUUACCUCAAUGAGCCCAUUAGGAACAACUUCUGCAAAAACUCCAUCAGCACAGCCAAGUACAGCAUAUGGUCAUUCCUCCCUCGAUACCUGUAUCUGCAGUUUAGCAAAGCUGCUAAUGCUUUCUUCCUGUUCAUUACUAUAUUGCAGCAAAUUCCAGAUGUGUCUCCAACGGGAAAAUAUACAACUCUCUUGCCUUUGAUGAUUAUACUUACCAUUUCAGGCAUCAAAGAGAUUGUAGAAGAUUAUAAACGACAUAUGGCAGACAGAUUAGUCAACACAAAGAACACAAUAGUGUUCAGAGAGAAUGAAUGGAAAGUGAUUAUGUGGAAAGAGGUCAAGGUGGGUGACAUUGUGAAGGCCUCAAAUGGACAAUUCCUUCCUGCAGACAUGGUUCUGAUUUCUUCCAGUGAACCUGAGGCAACAUGUUAUGUUGCAACAUCUAAUCUGGAUGGGGAGACAAACCUAAAAAUACGGCAGGCUUUGUUAGAAACAGCUGAAAUGCAAACAGAACAAUUGUCAAGCCUCUCUGGAAAAAUAGAAUGUGAAGGACCUAAUCGUCAUUUCAAUACCUUCAUUGGAACCUUGUAUCUAAAUGGUAAAAGCCCUGUUGCAGUAGGGCCUGAUCAGGUCUUGCUAAGAGGUACACAACUUAAAAAUACCCAGUGGAUCCUUGGCAUAGUUGUUUACACUGGAUCUGAAACCAAAUUCAUGCAGAAUUCCAUCAAAUUGCCUCUCAAGAGAUCGACUGUUGAGAAGGUGACCAACGUGCAGAUCCUGGUGUUGUUCCUGCUGCUUCUGGCCAUGUCCUUGGUGAGCUGUGUGGGAGCCAUACUCUGGAAGGAAGGGCACGGAGGAGACAUUUGGUACAUCGGGACGAAGGAUUACAGCUCCCACAGCUUAGGGUUUGACAUAUUGGUGUUCAUCAUCUUGUAUCACAAUCUCAUCCCCAUUAGCCUGCUGGUCACUCUGGAAAUUGUGAAAUAUAUUCAGGCCCUGUUUAUAAACUGGGACGAAGAUAUGCAUUAUGAAGGAAAUAACGUCUAUGCCAUGGCCAGAACGUCCAAUCUUAACGAAGAGCUUGGGCAGGUAAAAUAUUUAUUUUCUGAUAAAACAGGAACACUCACUUGCAAUAUUAUGACAUUGAAGAAGUGUACCAUUGCAGGUAUAAUUUAUGGAAAUCUGUCAAACAGAAGUGAUACCGUUUUGGACAACCUAAGUGCAUCACCGUCUGCCAUCACAGAAUCCGGUGGAUUUAAUGACCCAGCAUUGUUGCAGAACUUUGAGAAUGGCCACCCCACGAAAGAUUACAUAAAGGAGUUUCUCACCCUGCUAUGUGUGUGUCACACGGUUGUUCCUGAGAGAGACGGAGGCAAUACAACCUACCAGGCUUCCUCCCCAGAUGAAGCAGCUUUAGUGAAAGGAAUGAAGAAACUUGGCUUUGUUUUUACUACAAGAACGCCAUCCUCUGUCACCAUAAAUGCUAUGGGAGAAAACUUCACAUUUGAAAUUCUUAACAUCCUGGAGUUUUCUAGUAAUAGAAAAAGGAUGUCUGUAAUUGUCCGAACUCCUACAGGAAAGCUCCGGCUGUACUGCAAAGGGGCUGAUACAGUGAUUUAUGAGAGACUUUCAGAUGACUCUCUCUUUGUGAAGGAGACAUUAACCCAUCUGGAAUAUUUUGCCAAAGAAGGACUGAGAACUCUCUGCAUUGCCUAUACAGAUUUAACGGAGAAACAAUAUCAACAGUGGUUGAUGGAGUAUAAAAAAGCAAGCACAGUUAUACAGGACAGAAGGCAGAGUUUGGAAGAAUGUUACGAUCAUAUCGAAAAGGAAUUUCUGCUGCUUGGUGCCACAGCCAUUGAAGAUCACCUUCAAGCACGUGUUCCAGAAACGAUAACAUCUUUACUGAACGCAAACAUAAAAAUAUGGGUCCUGACAGGAGAUAAACAAGAAACUGCAAUUAACAUAGCAUAUUCCUGUAAACUGUUAUCAACUAAAAUGCCUUGUAUUCGAUUGAAUUCAAACUCACUCGAGGCAACACAACAAGCAGUUAAUCAGAACUGUCAAGAUCUUGGAGUCCUGUUAGGUGAAGAAAAUGACCUGGCCCUCAUCAUUGAUGGUGAAACACUGAAGUAUGCCUUCCAUCCUGAAGUUAAGAGGAGCUUUGUCAACUUGGCCCUCUCAUGUAGAGCAGUAUUAUGUUGUAGGUUAUCUCCCCUCCAGAAGGCAGAAAUAGUCGACGUGGUUAAGAAGCACGUAGGGGCCAUCACUCUUGCCAUCGGGGAUGGUGCCAAUGACGUUGGGAUGAUCCAGAUGGCCCACGUGGGUGUGGGAAUCAGUGGGAACGAGGGCAUGCAGGCCACCAACAACUCAGAUUUUGCCAUUGCACAGUUUAGCUACUUGGAGAAGCUUCUGUUGGUUCAUGGAGCUUGGAAUUAUUUUCGAGUGACAAAAUGCAUAUUAUAUUGUUUCUACAAAAAUGUCGUGUUAUAUGUUAUUGAGCUUUGGUUCGCCUUUGUUAAUGGAUUUUCUGGGCAGAUUAUAUUUGAACGCUGGUGCAUCGGCUUGUACAAUGUGAUUUUCACUUCAUUACCACCUCUUACUCUGGGAAUCUUUGAACAGUGUUGCAGUGAGAAGAGCCUGCUUAGGUGCCCACAACUCUAUAGGAUUUCUCAGGCAGGGAAAAUUUUCAACACAAAGGUAUUUUGGUUUCAAUGCAUAAAUGCUUUGGUCCAUUCCUUCAUUCUCUUCUGGUUGCCCAUGAAAAUGCUGGAGCAUGAUAUGGUCUUACAAGGGGGUUACACUACAGACUAUUUGUUUCUCGGAAAUUUCAUUUAUACGGUAAGAUUACCCAUAUGAUUCAAUCGCUUUUUCUAGUUUUUAAUUGAAAAUUUCAAGCAUUAUAAGAAUUCCAUAAGUUUUAAAUCUCCCUCAUGCUCCCAUACUUUUUCCAAGGAGGAACAGUGGUUGCAUAUGCAUGUGUGUUGUGUGUGUGUAUAUAUACACACACAUAUGUAAUUUGUAGGAAUGUGAAAUACAUGUACCUAAUGUAUAUUAUCCUCUCUUCUUUUGUACAAGCAGGGAGAUGCUCUUUUAUAUCUUGUUUUUUCACUACACAGCGUACCUGCGUGAUGGUAUUUAACUAGUCUCCUAUUAGUGGAAAGAUUGUUCUGGGUCCUUUGCCAUUGUCAACAGUGUUGUAGUCUAUUCUUUAUGCCCAUGGGUAGGUAGAUCUGUAGGAUAAAUUUCUAGAAGUGUACCUGGCUGGAUCAGAGAGUACUGUGAAUCUUGGAAAUUAUUACUAAAUUAUCCCCCCAAAAGGUUGUACACAGUUAGUCAUGAGAACAUGAGUGACCCCACAUAUUUACCGCCCCCACUGGCGGUAGUCUUACCACACUUUUUGAUCUAGUAGGUAAAAUGGUAUUCUAUUGCAGUUUUUGCUUUGAGGAUAGCAUAUUUGCAUGAAGUAAAAAAAAAAACCCUUUCAUUUCUUUUGUAUGUGUGUGUAUAAAAGUUUGUUGAAUUACUUUACCAAUUGUCCUACAGGGUUGUUGGUCUUUUUAUUAGUAGUAGUAGAUAUUUGUGUGUUAAGGAUGUUAAUUUUCCCCCCAUAUUUGUUACAUAAAUAUAUUUCCAGUUUUGCAUAUUAUUUUUCAUGCCAUUUUUGUCAUGCAUGUAUUCUGCAUGUUGGUUUUAUGUAGUUAAAUGUAUUGAUAUUUUUCUUUAUGGCUUCUGAGUUUUGUGUCUUAUUCACAAUGUUGUAUGUUAUUCUUUUGGUCUGCAAGUGGAAACAUAUUCCUCUGCAUGUUUGUUUUUUUGUUUUUUUUCAUUUAACAACACAUGUUGGAACAACAAAACCACAAACCAUGUUUUUCCUCACGUUUUCUUCUACGUAAGAAGCAAUUUAUUGGCAUAUUGCCUCUUUUCACUUUAGCUGGUUGUCGUUAUUACUUCAUGAUAAUGGGCAUGGCUUUUAACUCUGUGUUAUAUCUUCCUAAACAUCAAAUGAGGUUAGGUUUCUUAUUUAUUUGGACAUACGCAUAUAGUAAAUUUCCUUCUUUUCAGACCUCCUCACAUAUAGACAUGCAUGCAUACAAACAUAAAAGAUAUUCCUUGUUAAGAUGCCCAAGUAAAUUGAUAUAAAGGAAUCUCAACCUCCUAAGACAAAAAAUGAAUAUAUACAGUAAAACCAGCAACAACAAACUACGGCAAAAUCAAUUCAGCACAGCAACCAAAGAAGUAGAGGGGACGGCACCAAUGCUAAAAACCUCAAAAUGAGAUGUCAGGGGAGAAAUGGGAGAGUUGGCAGGGUCAGCAUGGUGACAUCACUGAUCCAGCUUUCCUGACAUGCUGUUCCCAGUGCCAGUGAGUUGGAGGAAGCACUAAGCCAAAACAGAGCAGCUGGAGGAAUGGAGUAAACCUCCAGGGAAGUAGAGUCUGCCUUGAUGCUCUCAGGGAAUUAAAGAAGGCCAGUGGGACUAAAGCACAGUGCAAACUGUGUGGCGGGCAAGGGAGGCUCAGGAUAAUGGCAAAGACGAACUUGGAGUGGUAGGUAGGGGCCAGUGCCUUGCCACCUUUAAGGUUUUGGAGAAGCUUAGAUGGGACGAUGCAGGCUAGCUGCAAUGCUGAGUCUAGAGCGAGAAGAGUGGACAUAAAGUCUGCUUCUAAAGCAGGACUUUAAACACCCAGUGUAUCACACGUCUAUUGCUGCACAGGAACCCACACUGUGACAAAAUCAUACUUAAUGGAACACUGAAAGCUUUUUUUUUUUUUUUUUUUGAGAUUAAGAAUAGAUGA